AUUGAACGCUGGCGGCAGGCCUAACCCAUGCAAGUCGAGCGAGGGGCGGACGGGUGAGGAAUAACUCGGAAUCUACUCUGUCGUGGGGGCUAACGUCGGGAAACUUACGCUAAUACCGCAUACUAUUAAAUGAGACGAUGUCGGAUUCUCUAGUAGGCGGGGUAAAGGCCCACCAAGGCGACGAUCCGUAUCUGGUCUGAGAGUCUGAUCCGCCACACUGGACAUGCGACACGGUCCAGACUCCUACGGUAUGCAGCAGUGGGGAAUAUUGGACAAUGGGCGCAAGCCUGAUCCAGCCAUACCGCGUGGGUGAAGAAGGCCUUCGGGUUGUAAAGCACUUUUGUUGGGAAAGCGUUACCCAAAGAAUAAGCACCGGCUAACUUCGUGCCAGCAGCCGCGGUAAUUC
rnacentral:rRNA from 1 species